UACGUAGGUGGCGAGCGUUGUCCGGAAUUACUGGGUGUAAAGGGCGUGUAGGCGGGUCUGCAAGUCAGAUGUGAAAUUCCGGGGCUUAACUCCGGCGCUGCAUUUGAAACUGCGGAUCUUGAGUGUUGGAUAGGGAAGUGGAAUUCCUAGUGUAGCGGUGAAAUGCGUAGAUAUUAGGAGGAACACCAGUGGCGAAGGCGACUUCCUGGACAACAACUGACGCUGAGGCGCGAAAGCGUGGGGAGCAAACAGG
rnacentral:rRNA from 1 species